AGUGAACGCUGGCGGUAGGCCUAACACAUGCAAGUCGAACGGCAGCACAGUAAGAGCUUGCUCUUACGGGUGGCGAGUGGCGGACGGGUGAGGAAUACAUCGGAAUCUACUUUUUCGUGGGGGAUAACGUAGGGAAACUUACGCUAAUACCGCAUACGACCUACGGGUGAAAGCAGGGGAUCUUCGGACCUUGCGCGACUGAAUGAGCCGAUGUCGGAUUAGCUAGUUGGCGGGGUAAAGGCCCGCCAAGGCGACGAUCCGUAGCUGGUCUGAGAGGAUGAUCAGCCACACUGGAACUGAGACACGGUCCAGACUCCUACGGGAGGCAGCAGUGGGGAAUAUUGGACAAUGGGCGCAAGCCUGAUCCAGCCAUACCGCGUGGGUGAAGAAGGCCUUCGGGUUGUAAAGCCCUUUUGUUGGGAAAGAAAAGCAGCAGGUUAAUACCCCGCUGUUCUGACGGUACCCAAAGAAUAAGCACCGGCUAACUUCGUG
rnacentral:rRNA from 1 species